rnacentral:tRNA from 1 species
GGGAUGGCUCAGCAUAGUUAAGAGCACUGACUGCUAUUCCAGAGGACCUGGGUUCAAGUCCCAGCACCCA